AGUAGGAAAUGAAUCUGACGAAAAACCUUUCUCUGUUGAGAAAAUUUAAAGAGAACUUGUUGUUUUUUACGCCACCGUCGCCGCGCCGCCAGUCAAUACCAUACCUCAGGCGGCAACUUACGAACAGUCCAUUGUGGUCACCGCAACAGUCAUUCCACACCCCUACGCCGCAUAAAGAUCAAAAGCAGACCUUCAAUUUAAUUGUGGAAUUAUAUCUAGUUUUAACUCUCAACAAAUUAGUUGAGUAACAGCACAUUGCACCUCAAACAAAAUGCUGGAUCAAUUCAUUGAGGUUGAGAUUGAAGCUGAAAAGCUCUUAUUGGGACGGCAUGAGUGGGUUGAAAUUGAUAAAAUGAGGAAUGGAAACAGGGAAGCUUUGACAGCUCUAAGAAAGAGGGCUAAAACUACAAAAACGAGUGUCCCUUCACCUUUCGAAUCUCUGAUGAAGGAUAUUGAUCCAAGGCCACUGGUGAAAGAGGUCUGUGCUACAUGUGGUCACCAUAAUGCUAGAGAGAGCACAUUGCUAAUGUUCCCUGGAACUGACACCUUUGCAACUAUUCCGUUUCAUGCUGCUCAUACCAUUUUGGAAGAAGAUCAAGCACGCCUUGAUUUUGAUUCCAAAAAACUCCAGAGCUUUGUUAAAGAGCAAUCAUUAAUUCUUUCAGAAAAAGGUGCUCUUUCCGACAAGAUAGGUCCUGGUGUGCUAAAAUCCCUGGUGGCCUUAAGCGACAAACCAAAGAUUGAGGAGGAAAAUUGACAACUCCCUGCAGUAAUGGAGGAGAAGUGAGUUAUUUCUUAUAGGGUGUAAAAUUCUGCAUGAAGAUGACCAAACACAUGCUAGAGUAGAGCACGAAAGACAGCGACUUGAGGAGCUUCCUAUGCAGUAGUAAAGCACGCGGUGUAGAGGAAAUGGAGGAGCAAGAGCAUACUUUUGGGACCCAGACGUGUAGGUACACUUGUAUUAUGUUUUUGAAACAAAGCAUCGUUAGACAUUUCUAUCAUAUACCUUGCUCGUAACAUAUGAUCGUCUGGGUCUGCUGAUAACUACGAUAGCGAAUGUCCUCAAGCCGCUGCUUGGCUCUAUUUUGUGCAUCCAUUGAAUGUCUUUGUAUUAUUAGCUUCAAAGAUGGGGAUAUUGUGGGCCGGUUUUGUGGUGAAGUGGCAAUCAUUCGGUGGGCAUGAUUCUUGUUUGGGGACAAAGUUUGAAAUAAUUAAAGUCGGAUUAAAAGUUAGUUUUUCUUGGCUGUUUUGAUUUUGUAAUCCCAAAUCAAUGUAUUGUUUGCACUUUGCAUGUGUUAUCGUUGUCAUUACUUUGAUGAUUAGAGUUGAGAGAUAUUGACAGGGCAUAGAUAAAAAUCGUUGCUGCUAACGACUUGUCUACAUUAGUUAUUGUUUAACGAGGAACGAAAAUGUCGUGCAA